rnacentral:rRNA from 1 species
UACGGGGGGAGCAAGCGUUGUUCGGAUUUACUGGGCGUAAAGGGCGCGUAGGCGGUAGCACAAGUCAGUUGUGAAAUCUCCGGGCUUAACUCGGAAAGGUCAACUGAUACUGUGCGACUAGAGUGCAGAAGGGGCAACUGGAAUUCUCGGUGUAGCGGUGAAAUGCGUAGAUAUCGAGAGGAACACCUGCGGCGAAGGCGGGUUGCUGGGCUGACACUGACGCUGAGGCGCGAAAGCUAGGGGAGCAAACGGG